CUACGGGGCGCAGCAGUGGGGAAUAUUGGACAAUGGGGGAAACCCUGAUCCAGCAAUGCCGCGUGUGUGAAGAAGGCCUGCGGGUUGUAAAGCACUUUCGGUUGGGAGGACUGCUUCUAGCACUAAUAUUGUUGGAAGUUGACGUUACCUUCGGAAGAAGCACCGGCUAACUCCGUGCCAGCAGCCGCGGUAAUACGGGAGGGUGCAAGCGUUAAUCGGAAUUACUGGGCGUAAAGCGCGCGUAGGCGGCUAGAUCAGACGGGUGUGAAAGCCCCGGGCUUAACCUGGGAACUGCAUCCGAUACUGUCUAGCUUGAGUACAGGAGAGGAGAGUGGAAUUCCACAUGUAGCGGUGAAAUGCGUAGAUAUGUGGAGGAACACCAAUGGCGAAGGCAGCUCUCUGGCCUGAUACUGACGCUGAGGUGCGAAAGCGUGGGGAGCAAACAGGAUUAGAUACCCCGGUAGUC
rnacentral:rRNA from 1 species